GCUUGGGUGGCUCAGUCGGUUGAGCGUCUGACUUCAGCUCAGGUCAUGAUCUUGCGGCUUGUGGGUUUGAGCCCUGCAUCAGGCU
rfam:Felis catus isolate Cinnamon breed Abyssinian chromosome B2, whole genome shotgun sequence.